rnacentral:rRNA from 1 species
AACGAACGCUGGCGGCAUGCCUAACACAUGCAAGUCGAACGAGACCUUCGGGUCUAGUGGCGCACGGGUGCGUAACGCGUGGGAACCUGCCCUUAGGUUCGGAAUAACUCCCCGAAAGGGGUGCUAAUACCGGAUAAUGUCUUCGGACCAAAGAUUUAUCGCCUUUGGAUGGGCCCGCGUUGGAUUAGCUAGUUGGUAGGGUAAAAGCCUACCAAGGCGACGAUCCAUAGCUGGUCUGAGAGGAUGAUCAACCACACUGGGACUGAGACACGGUCAAGACUCCUACGGGAGGCAGCAGUGGGGAAUAUUGGACAAUGGGGGAAAGCCUGAUCCAGCCAUAUCGCGUGGGUGCAGAAGGACUUAGGGUUGUAAAGCCCUUUUGUUGGGAAAGAAAAGCAGCAGGUUAAUACCCGGCUGUUCUGACGGUACCCAAAGAAUAAGCACCGGCUAACUUCGUG